UCCAACCUGGGUGAUAGUGACUCCAUCUCAAAAUAAAAAAGAUGUCAGCAACUUAAGUAUUUUUAACGGCUGGGCAGAGGGGACCAAUGAAAAAGAGUAGGACAUCGUGAUCUGAGGGGAGGGUUUGGCUCAGGAAGGAGGAAGUACACCUCUUCCUUGGAUACUGGAAGGGAAGGUGUUGCUGAUGAAAACUCCAAAGGAAGAAAAGGUCCAUGGAGGAUGCUUCAUCACUGGGUUUAAGUUUUUUAACAAAAUUGGUGAGGAAGACAUCUGCACAGAAUCUAAAAAAUAAUGAAUGCAGCCAUGGUACCUUAGGGCGCUGGAAAAGGCAAUGCACCUGACCUCUGGGGAAGCUGAUCUCAGAGGUACGCAGGACGUCUUGGUGUGGGGAAUCUGUGUGGAGAUACGUCUGGAGACAGUGAGUCAUACUUCCUGACCUUAUAACCAUGCAGCUCAGCAGUCUCUGCGAGAGUCGGCUCCCUGCAAUUUGUGUUCCAGGAUCCAUGGAGCACGUAACACAUCCUGAUGCUGUUCUCAGCCUUCUGUGGCCUCUUGGUCACCGUUUCCUACCAUCUGAGCUGGCAGAGCAGUGACCCAUCUGUGUUCAUGUCCUUCAUUCAAUGCAGACUGUUUCCUAAGUUUUUACAUCAAAAUCUGGAAGAGUCAGCUGCU